UCGCUCUCUCGCGCUUUCUCUCACUCUUGCAAUUUCCAAAAAAAAAUUUCCCCUUCGCAACUAAAUAAUCACUUUUUGAGUUACAUUUCCCGGUGGUGAUCUACAGUUUUGUGUUACAGUGGUUUCAGUUGUAACAAGCUUUGUUUACUGUUAUGUAACGGGUCACCCCAAACCGUAUCACCUGUAAUUAAAGUUCAAAAUACGACAACGAUUACGAAAUCUGUGAUAAAAAAACAAGAGAGAAUCAAGUGCUAUUGCAAAAACCGUUAAAGUUUUAAAAUUCGAAUUUUAAACGCGUGUUCCUGUUGCGGUUUUUUAAAUUAAAUUCGAUGUUGUUUUCUUUUAAAGAAGAUGACGUCACAAGAGUCGUCGUCCACGAUGACGAAGAAUUUUCUGACAGUCACCAACAUCGUGAAUGAGGGUAUCAAGGGCAGCAAAAUAUCGA